UACGUAGGGUGCGAGCGUUGUCCGGAAUUACUGGGCGUAAAGAGCUCGUAGGUGGUUUGUCGCGUUGUUCGUGAAAACUCACAGCUCAACUGUGGGCGUGCGGGCGAUACGGGCAGACUGGAGUACUGCAGGGGAGACUGGAAUUCCUGGUGUAGCGGUGAAAUGCGCAGAUAUCAGGAGGAACACCGGUGGCGAAGGCGGUUCUCUGGGCCUGUACUGACGCUGAGGAGCGAAAGCGUGGGGAGCAAACAGG
rnacentral:rRNA from 1 species